rnacentral:tRNA from 1 species
UCCCUUGUGGCUCAGCUGGUAAAGAAUCUGCCUGCAAUGCAGGAGACCUGGGUUCAAUCCCUGGUUUGGGAA